rnacentral:lncRNA from 1 species
UUGGAGGGGAUACCUUGAGGCCAAGGCAGCGCAUCUUCAACUACAGGUUAUCAAGAGCCCGCAGAGUAGUUGAAAAUGCUUUCGGGAUCCUCGCCAAUUGGUUUAGGUGUUUUCACACCACCAUGGCAGCUACGCCAACAAGAGCAAAGAGCUAUGUUGCAGCAGCUUGUGUUUUGCACAAUUUCUUGCACAACUCACUAUUAAAAGUUAGUUCCAUAGUGAGCCACUUUGCUUCGUAUCGCCAAGCGUGCACUCGUGUUUUUCACGAUAUGUUCUUGAAGGUCGGAUGUUGACUAUGUGAUGUACUCUCAUAGGUAUGUCAUGCUCUCUGCUUUGUAAGUAGAAACAAAUAUAAACAAGCGAGAAAACCAAGACUCACUGAACGUUAUUUCAAUUUCAGUUUCAACAGUGGACGGCGCUGCACAUGCAAUCGUUUUUUUUUCCUGCGAUGCCACUGUAUUUCAUUGCAAACUAUGGCCACGGCUCUGGCACGCUCACAGAACAAGGAAUAUAUUAAAUAAAAGUUAACUGAA